rnacentral:rRNA from 1 species
GAUUAUGGCUCAGGAUGAACGCUAGCUACAGGCUUAACACAUGCAAGUCGAGGGGCAUCAGUUUGGUUUGCUUGCAAACCAAAGCUGGCGACCGGCGCACGGGUGAGUAACACGUAUCCAACCUGCCUCAUACUCGGGGAUAGCCUUUCGAAAGAAAGAUUAAUAUCCGAUAGCAUAUAUUUCCCGCAUGGGUUUUAUAUUAAAGAAAUUCGGUAUGAGAUGGGGAUGCGUUCCAUUAGUUUGUUGGGGGGGG